AAUUGACUAAUAGAAUACUGACAC
rnacentral:miRNA from 1 species